GCAAGUCACUUAACCCCAUUGCCUGCCAAAGAAAAAAAAAAAGAAAAAACCCAAACUUUAUAGGCAAGGUCCCUGAAGUUUGGAGACAGGAGGGCCAAUCACCGUCUCACAGAAAGUCACCCCUGGAGGUGGCAUAAAGCCGGAUGCGACUCCCAGCAGAGUUCUCACUAUACCAUCUUCCCAGCCUGUCUCAGAGGGCAGUCAGCCCUCAGUCCACCCUCCCGACCUUGGCCUUAGCUAGUCCUAUCUUGGAGAGUUGGGGCAGGAGCUCAGCUGCUACCACAAACACUGCUGGUGGAUGCCUGGAGGACCCCAACUCAAGGUGUUCUCCCCAUGGGGGCGGGAGGCUUAGGUGAUGUGUAGAUGUUUGGGUUCUAGUCCCACUCUGCAAUACUGUGAUGCGAAGGAACCCUGGUGGAACGUGGCAUGGAAAGUAGGCCACUCCAUUCUCAGGGUACUGCCCGGCAUUCCCAUCGCCAUCUUGCUUUGAAACCCAUCCAACUCCAAAUUUCAGAGCAACUGGGUUUCCUGUGGCCCUUCCACUUCCAAAAGAAGGCAAGGAGGGGAACAAGAUGGUCUAGGCCUGUGAGUGAGAGGGACCUAAGCAGUCAUUUAGUUCAGGGAGAAACCACUUACUUAUGGCCACCCAGGACAAAGCUAGGAUUUGAACAUGGUUUCUCAACUCCAAAUGCUUGCUUUCCAUUACAACGUGACACCUAGCCCCUACUCCCGAGGGACUCUGCUUUGGGAAGAACUGGGGCUGAAGACAGGCUACGAAUGCCUCCCACCCCCUGCACCACAACACCUCCAAAGUUGGAGUCCACUGGGCAAGGACACUGACGACUGUCUGAAGCCCCUCCCUGGCCCGCUCAGGUUCAGCAAUCUGUCCCUCCCUUCCUGUUCAGACACACCCUCCUUCGGCCAGCCGUGGAGUUCGACCUUUCUGCACGUGGGGGUUCUCUCCCCCUAGCAAGCCCUAGGCACCGAUUCCAAGAAGACUGAAAAAGGUGGUCUGCCUGCCCCCCCCCCCCAAGCCUCAGGCACUCGGAGAAGGGAUUUCUAAGAAGGCCAAGGCUAGGCAUGGCAAGUCCUCAGACCCCAGCAGCAGCAGCUCCAGCGAUUCUGACACAGAUGGGAAGCCUCCAGGGCCUGGCCAGGGCCCCCAGAAGGAGCAAAAACUGAAGAAGGUGAAGAAGACCAAGGAAAAAGGGAAGAAGGGGGAGAAGGGAUCGGCCCCCUGAAGGCAGCCUGGGUCUGCAUUAAACAG